rnacentral:rRNA from 1 species
CCUACGGGUGGCUGCAGUGAGGAAUAUUGGUCAAUGGGCGCGAGCCUGAACCAGCCAAGUAGCGUGAAGGAUGACUGCCCUACGGGUUGUAAACUUCUUUUAUAAAGGAAUAAAGUGAGGUACGUGUGCCUUUUUGUAUGUACUUUAUGAAUAAGGAUUGGCAAACUCCGUGCCAGCAGCCGCGGUAAUACGGAGGAUGCGAGUGUUAUCCGGAUUUAUUGGGUUUAAGGGGUGCGUAGGCGGAUUUCCAAGUCAGCGGUAAAAUGUCCGGGCUAAACCCGGGCCGGCCGUUGAAACUGGGGAUCUUGAGUGGGCGAGAAGUAUGCGGAAUGCGUGGUGUAGUGGUGAAAUGCUUAGAUAUCACGAAGAACUCCGAUUGCGAAGGCAGCUUACUGGACUGCAACUGACGCUGAGGCUCGAAAGUGUGGGUAUCAAACAGGAUUAGAUACCCUUGUAGUC